GAUGAACGCUGGCGGCGUGCCUAAUACAUGCAAGUCGAGCGAACAGACGAGGAGCUUGCUCCUCUGACGUUAGCGGCGGACGGGUGAGUAACACGUGGAUAACCUACCUAUAAGACUGGGAUAACUUCGGGAAACCGGAGCUAAUACCGGAUAAUAUAUUGAACCGCAUGGUUCAAUAGUGAAAGACGGUUUUGCUGUCACUUAUAGAUGGAUCCGCGCCGCAUCAGCUAGUUGGUAAGGUAACGGCUUACCAAGGCAACGAUGCGUAGCCGACCUGAGAGGGUGAACGGCCACACUGGAACUGAGACACGGUCCAGACUCCUACGGGAGGCAGCAGUAGGGAAUCUUCCGCAAUGGGCGAAAGCCUGACGGAGCAACGCCGCGUGAGUGAUGAAGGUCUUCGGAUCGUAAAACUCUGUUAUUAGGGAAGAACAAAUGUGUAAGUAACUAUGCACGUCUUGACGGUACCUAAUCAGAAAGCCACGGCUAACUACGUG
rnacentral:rRNA from 1 species